rnacentral:rRNA from 1 species
AUUGAACGCUGGCGGCAGGCCUAACACAUGCAAGUCGAAUGGUAACAGGAAACAGCUUGCUGUUUCGCUGACGAGUGGCGGACGGGUGAGUAAUGUCUGGGAAACUGCCUGAUGGAGGGGGAUAACUACUGGAAACGGUAGCUAAUACCGCAUAACGUCGCAAGCACAAAGAGGGGGACCUUCGGGCCUCUUGCCAUCAGAUGUGCCCAGAUGGGAUUAGCUAGUAGGUGGGGUAACGGCUCACCUAGGCGACGAUCCCUAGCUGGUCUGAGAGGAUGACCAGCCACACUGGAACUGAGACACGGUCCAGACUCCUACGGGAGGCAGCAGUGGGGAAUAUUGCACAAUGGGCGCAAUCCUGAUGCAGCCAUGCCGGGUGGAUGAGGAAGGCCUUCGGGUUGUAAAGUACUUUCAGCGGGGAGGAAGGGAGUAAAGUUAAUACCUUCGCUCAUUGACGUUACCCGCAGAAGAAGCACCGGCUAACUCCGUG